rnacentral:rRNA from 1 species
AUGCUCCCUGCCUCGAAAGAUUUGUCACUUUAUCCUCCGGACAUAAGUUUUGAGACUAUCUGCGUAAUUGGUGCACCUAAACUGAAGAUAUCGGGCCUUUUUUCACCAUGUGUAUCCACACUCCAGAUUGCAACUCUAGUCGUCAAGGGAAUGUCCCCAGUCAGCUUGGCAAACUCAAUAUGCACUGUGAAGGUUCUGGCUCUCUACUCUUCUGGUUCUCAGUUGAAUGCAGUUCUAAACAUCCUCAGGUGCUUUCCCCGCUUGGAAAUGCUCUAUUUCACUUUGAAGAAACACCCAAAGAUGGAUAUGAAAAAUGUGCACCUGUGUGACCCACUAGAUCCAAUCGAAUGCCUCGUGAUCCAUCUAAAAAGAUUGGUGUUUGAAAAUUACAAAGGCUGUGACCAAGAUGCUGACUUUGCCAAAUUCUUUAUUUUGAACGUAAAAGUGCUGAAGGAAAUCAAAAUUUCAAGCCCUAAGGGCAACGAUAUUAAAUGGGUGGACGAUCAUCACAGGCUGCUACAAGUGGAAGAUAGAGCUUCUCGAGAUGCUGAACCUGAAUUCAGAAGUGAGUUUAGCUGUUUGGAUAAAACCAAACAGAUUCAUGAUUUAUUGGAUGAUCCCUUCGACUACUCGUGUUGUAGAAUUAAAUGCAAUGUUCUUUCAGAUGAAUCAUGUCCAUGGUUCGUCAAUGGCCGAUCUUUCAAAUCCUUGUGUCAUAGACAGGGUUACUGCCCGAAUAUUGUGUAG